rnacentral:rRNA from 2 species
GGACUACACGGGUAUCUAAUCCUGUUUGCUCCCCACGCUUUCGUGCAUGAGCGUCAGUGACGUCCCAGGGGGCUGCCUUCGCCAUCGGUAUUCCUCCACAUCUCUACGCAUUUCACUGCUACACGUGGAAUUCUACCCCCCUCUGACAUACUCUAGCCUUGCAGUCACAAGCGCAAUUCCCAAGUUGAGCUCGGGGAUUUCACGCCUGUCUUACAAAACCGCCUGCGCACGCUUUACGCCCAGUAAUUCCGAUUAACGCUCGCACCCUACGUAUUACCGCGGCGGCUGGCAC